rnacentral:rRNA from 1 species
CCUACGGGAGGCAGCAGUGAGGAAUAUUGGUCAAUGGGCGGAAGCCUGAACCAGCCAAGUAGCGUGCAGGAUGACGGCCCUACGGGUUGUAAACUGCUUUUAUACGGGAAUAACGCCCCUUACGUGUAGGGCUUUGCAUGUACCGUAUGAAUAAGGACCGGCUAAGUCCGUGCCAGCAGCCGCGGUAAUACGGAAGGUCCGGGCGUUGUCCGGAUUUAUUGGGUUUAAAGGGAGCGUAGGCCGGAUGUCAAGCGUGCUGUGAAAUGUCCGGGCUCAACCCGGGCCUUGCAGCGGAAACUGGCGUGCUUGAGUGCGGGGAAAGCAGGCGGAAUGCGUGGUGUAGCGGUGAAAUGCUUAGAUAUGACGCAGAACCCCGAUUGCGAAGGCAGCUUGCUGGAGCGGAACUGACGCUGAUGCACGAAAGCGCGGGUAUCGAACAGGAUUAGAUACCCUAGUAGUC